ensembl:lncRNA
GUGAUAUGAGCUUUUAGAUAAACUAUGAACACUAAUUACACUCGAAAAUAUCUGCCUAUGAGAGUCUUGAUUGAAGGCAGAGGAGAAGGGGACGACAGAGGCUAAGAUGGUUGGAUGGCAUCACUGAUUCGAUGGACAUGAGUUUGAGCAAGCCCCUGGAGUUGGUGAUGGACACGGAAGCCCAGCGUCCUGCAGGCCACGGGGUCCCAAAGAGUCAGACACGACUGAGCCACUGAACUGAACUGAACAUACAAUCGUUUCUCCAGGUGUUUUGGUUACCCGAGUUUCUAUCCUGUGCUAAACUAAGUGACGACAGUGUACUGAAGAGCUGGGUCAUUUCCAAAUAAAUUAAAGUUCUGAAACAUUCACGCCUUGAAAGGACCUCCCUUUUACACAGAAACAAAAGAGAUUUUUGACUAUCCAAUAAGAGUGUCUGGCACCAUCCUGACAUGUGAAACGUAAGAAAGCAAUUUUUUUUGUUUUGUUUGGUUCUGAUCUUGGGUGUGUGUGUGUGUGUGUGUGUGUGUGUGUGUGCGUGCGUGCGUGCGGGGGAGGGGAGGGGCGCUACUAUCACUGAUAGGUAUGUUCACCAAUCUGUCGAAUGCCAAUAUAAAAGUCAGUUCUUGGUUGCUGAAGGGAAAUAACUGACUUUUAUAUUGGCAUUCGACAGAUUGGUGAACAUACCUAUCAGUGAUAGUAGCGCCCCUCCCCUCCCCCGCACGCACGCACACACACACACACACACACACACACACACACACCCAAGAUCAGAACCAAACAAAACAAAAAAAAUUGCUUUCUUACGUUUCACAUGUCAGGAUGGUGCCAGACACUCUUAUUGGAUAGUCAAAAAUCUCUUUUGUUUCUGUGUAAAAGGGAGGUCCUUUCAAGGCGUGAAUGUUUCAGAACUUUAAUUUAUUUGGAAAUGACCCAGCUCUUCAGUACACUGUCGUCACUUAGUUUAGCACAGGAUAGAAACUCGGGUAACCAAAACACCUGGAGAAACGAUUGUAUGUUCAGUUCAGUUCAGUGGCUCAGUCGUGUCUGACUCUUUGGGACCCCGUGGCCUGCAGGACGCUGGGCUUCCGUGUCCAUCACCAACUCCAGGGGCUUG